AUUGAACGCUGGCGGCAGGCUUAACACAUGCAAGUCGAGCGAGCGGCGGACGGGUGAGUAAUGUCUGGGAAACUGCCCGAUGGAGGGGGAUAACUACUGGAAACGGUAGCUAAUACCGCAUACCAUCGGAUGUGCCCAGAUGGGAUGAGCUAGUAGGUGGGGGAAUGGCUCACCUAGGCGACGAUCCCUAGCUGGUCUGAGAGGAUGACCAGCCACACAGGAACGAAGACACGAACCAUACUCCUACGGGAGGAAGCAGUGGGGAAAAUUGCAAAAUGGGCGCAAGCCUAGUGCAGCCAUGCCGCGUGUGUGAAGAAGGCUUUCGGGUUGUAAAGCACUUUCAGCGAGGAGGCGUUACUCGCAGAAGAAGCACCGGCUAACACCGUGCCAGCAGCCGCGGUAAUAC
rnacentral:rRNA from 1 species